CGGACGGGUGAGUAAUGUCUGGGAAACUGCCUGAUGGAGGGGGGUAACUACUGGAAACGGUAGCUAAUACCGCAUAACGUCGCAAGACCAAAGAGGGGGACCUUAGGGCCUCUUGCCAUCGGAUGCGCCCAGAUGGGAUUAGCUAGUAGGUGGGGUAACGGCUCACCUAGGCGACGAUCCCUAGCUGGUCUGAGAGGAUGACCAGCCACACUGGAACUGAGACACGGUCCAG
rnacentral:rRNA from 1 species